UACGGGGGGAGCAAGCGUUGUUCGGAUUUACUGGGCGUAAAGGGCGCGUAGGCGGCCACCGCAAGUCGACUGUGAAAUCUCCGGGCUUAACCCGGAAAGGUCAGCCGAUACUGCGGGGCUAGAGUGCAGAAGGGGCAACUGGAAUUCUCGGUGUAGCGGUGAAAUGCGUAGAUAUCAGGAGGAACACCAAUAGCGAAGGCAGCUCGCUGGGACGUUACUGACACUAAGGCGCGAAAGCGUGGGGAGCGAACAGG
rnacentral:rRNA from 1 species